UACGGAGGGUGCAAGCGUUGUCCGGAAUUACUGGGCGUAAAGCGCGCGUAGGUGGUGAAGUCAGUCAGAUGUGAAAGCCCAGGGCUUAACCUUGGAAUUGCAUCUGAUACUGCUUCGCUAGAGUAUGGUAGAGGGGUGUGGAAUUUCCUGUGUAGCGGUGAAAUGCGUAGAUAUAGGAAGGAACACCAGUGGCGAAGGCGGCACCCUGGACCAAUACUGACGCUGAGGUGCGAAAGCGUGGGUAGCAAACAGG
rnacentral:misc_RNA from 1 species